rnacentral:misc_RNA from 1 species
GAUGAGUAUUAAAAGGUUGCAUUCCUUUGCAAGGAAUCUAAAUCUAUCAAACAAAGGCUGUUCAAAUUUUGAAGCCAAAUUCGUAAACCUGACUAAGACACUUGGUUUAUGGGCUUGUGGACUGCCGGUAUGGGUGUGCAAAAAUGAUGCCUUUGCACCGUGUUAUAUGUAUAUAUGAAGUUACGCUCACACAAUAACUUGGAUAUUGGAUCAGG